UACGUAGGGAGCAAGCGUUGUCCGGAAUCAUUGGGCGUAAAGCGCGCGUAGGUGGCUUCGUAAGUCCGUUGUGAAAGUCAAAGGCUCAACCUUUGAAAGCCGAUGGAUACUGCGGAGCUAGAGUACGGAAGAGGCGAGUGGAAUUCCUGGUGUAGCGGUGGAAUGCGCAGAUAUCAGGAGGAACACCAAUAGCGAAGGCAGCUCACUGGCCCGAUACUGACGCUGAGGCACGAAAGCGUGGGGAGCAAACAGG
rnacentral:rRNA from 1 species